UACGUAGGGUGCGAGCGUUGUCCGGAAUUAUUGGGCGUAAAGAGCUCGUAGGCGGUGUGUCACGUCGGCCGUGAAAACCCGCGGCUUAACUGCGGGCUUGCAGUUGAUACGGGCAGGCUAGAGUUCGGUAGGGGAGACUGGAAUUCCUGGUGUAGCGGUGAAAUGCGCAGAUAUCAGGAGGAACACCGGUGGCGAAGGCGGGUCUCUGGGCCGAUACUGACGCUGAGGAGCGAAAGCGUGGGGAGCGAACAGG
rnacentral:rRNA from 1 species